rnacentral:rRNA from 1 species
GAUGAACGCUGGCGGCGUGCCUAAUACAUGCAAGUCGAGCGAACAGACGAGGAGCUUGCUCCUCUGACGUUAGCGGCGGACGGGUGAGUAACACGUGGAUAACCUACCUAUAAGACUGGGAUAACUUCGGGAAACCGGAGCUAAUACCGGAUAAUAUAUUGAACCGCAUGGUUCAAUAGUGAAAGACGGUUUUGCUGUCACUUAUAGAUGGAUCCGCGCCGCAUUAGCUAGUUGGUAAGGUAACGGCUUACCAAGGCGACGAUGCGUAGCCGACCUGAGAGGGUGAUCGGCCACACUGGAACUGAGACACGGUCCAGACUCCUACGGGAGGCAGCAGUAGGGAAUCUUCCGCAAUGGGCGAAAGCCUGACGGAGCAACGCCGCGUGAGUGAUGAAGGUCUUCGGAUCGUAAAACUCUGUUAUUAGGGAAGAACAAAUGUGUAAGUAACUAUGGACGUCUUGACGGUACCUAAUCAGAAAGCCACGGCUAACUACGUG